GUUGGUUUUAGUGGGUUGGCUGGUUGGGAAAGGCAGUUGGAGAAGCAGUUGGCAGGCAGUUGGAAAUAGAGAGACAGGGCAGUGGGUUCUUGAGUGAGGGGAGGUAGAAGAGAUAGAGAGAGGAAAACAAGACUAAGAAAGUAACGAGUAACAACGUUUGGAAUGCCGGAAAAGUUUGUUUGUGUCUGAAAUAAAAUACACUCUUCUUUAUUAAUUGAGAACCUGACUGAGGCUGAAAGUGAUUUACCAGGGAGGACCUGGUUGGUGGCAGCGGAUUAGUGGUGUACAGGUCAAUAGUCAGUGAGACGACCGGGGGCUCCGUACGAACGCCACAGUCACCUUGAUUAAAAACCCAUUAAUCGCUAGUUAAGAAAGUCAAUGCCUAUGCAUAUUAGUUUGCACAAGUUUGCAUUUCUCUGUAUCGUUCUCGGGAGUAAGGAGUUUAAGGUUUCCAGCCUUUAUUAUUGGGCUCCAAAGAAACAGUUCUAGAGUUGAGCCAGGUGUUGAAAGGCACACAUACACCCUUGCGUGGCUCUGUCAUAUUCUUUGGCCAUGUGAGAAAAUGACCCCCACCGCUGCCCUGCUCCCUUUUGGAAUCCAUUCAGCUGUCAAAUCAAUUCCUUUCUCUGCUUUCGUAUUGUUAGCCAAGAAGACGAGGAUUCCCUCACAACGUAGCUUUUUAAAGUCUGGUCGCUGAUUGAGCUUUCAUCAAAUAAGAGGCCCGAAGAGAGUUAAGAGUUAGAUGUUUCGGGGCUUCUCAGGAGAAAGAAAAGGAGGGUGAAGAGAAAGCUGUGGACGGCAGUUACAAAGGUAAAGGUUAACUCCUCUUUUUUUUUUUUUGGUAAUUCACUUUGUUUCCCUAUCUAAAACUUCAUGUGAAAAACAGGUACAUCAAGUAACUGUUUUCAAUACACAUUUUCCCUUGCAAAACUUAAGUUUCUGGCAAAAACACAUCCCUCAGUUUGCUUCAUGGUCACAUCCACACCGUCCAUUUAAAGCACUUGCCCAAGGAAUCCUGGGAACUAUAGUAUGCUAAGGGUGCUGGGAAUUGCAGCCCCGUUUGGGGUAAUGUACAGUUCCAUGAUUCUUUGGGAAAAGCCAUGUGAUUUGAAGGGAUUCUGUGGACGUGACCAUCUCUUGCCAAGCUGCCAAUAUACUUCUGGGCCAAGUUAAGGGUUUUGUUGCUAGUUUACAAAGCUCUAAUCUAUUUGGGACCAGGAUACCCAAGACGCUGCCUUCUCUCCUCCAGAUCCAUCUGAUGAUUGAGAGCAUCAGGUGAGGUCCUUGAGUGGUCCUUGGGUGGCUGCCCUACUCGAAGGGGAGCUUUCAGUGUUGUAGAUACUGGCCUGCAGAAUACACUCUCAUUGGCAUAACUAACCAAUGGAGAGACCAGGGUGUUUUUCUUUUCUCAAGACUUAAGCCUGAAUCAGCUGAAACCAACUGGGGAAGAGCCACAGCUUAGUGGCAGAUCAUCUGCUUUGCCUGCCCAAGGUCCCAGGUUCAUCUCCAGCUAGGCCUGGGAGAGUCAGGGUAGACAGUGCUAACCUUGGUGGAUCAUUCUGGUCUGGCUUGCUAUAAGGCAACCCCGGAUGUUCCUAGACAGAAUCCAGCAGAGCUCAUGAGAUUUUGUAAUUAAUAUUAAAUUUCCAUGUUCCAACUCUUGUGAUUUAUUUGUUGCAUUUGUAUCCCAUUUUUCCUCCAAGAUGCUCAAGGCGGUGAGCAAAAGAUGAUCCCGUUUAUACAAAAACCUGCUCUGUGAAGCAAGUUGGAUGGAGAGAUGCAACAUAACCCACAGCCACCCAGGGAUCAUUGCGGUGGAGCACAGCAGGAAUUUGAACCUGGGUUCAAUGUGAAUAUUUAGGUGGAUCUGAAAACAUUCCUGUUCACCCAGGCAUUUGAUGGCUGAAAGAUCUUGUUACUGGCAACCUUGAAAUUAUUUAGUGGUGAGGAUAUUUGAUCGUUCCUAAAAGUUUUUACAAUCUUUGUAUUGUUUUCCUUGUUUGCUGCCCUAUCUCUUUAUCUGCUGAUUUUUCUGUCCGCUAUGACAUGCUAUCCUCUACAGAUCUGACCACCAUCAUCCCCCCCUUGUUUGCGAAUCACCAAGGCUAAGAAACCAGUCCUGUUGAGGUCAACAGAUUUCCUUAUUAUCAAAAAGGAACAUAAAGAAGAAAUAUUAGAGUAAAUGAUGCUCUGGAUCCUGACAAGCUUGACAAUGCCUGUCUUUUGACAUUUUAUUUUUAUAGGUCUCUUAAUGGUCCCAUUGGACUCUUAAUGCUCUUUGCUUCUUUAUAUAUAUAUUACGGCAACACACACACACACACACAUUUGAUUAAUAUUUUAUGGCUACCUGGGUUGCCAGCAGCUCUCAUAAAUUUCAUGGAGGGCUAUUUCUGAGGGAUAUUAAUGUGAGAAAUCCCUGUUGUUGAGGAACAAUAUCAAUCACUUAAACAUCAAUACCUACAUGCCAAAAGAUGUAUCGCUACAGCAUCUUUAAAGAGUCCUUUACAACUCACGUCUUCCAAGUGCCACUUAGGCUAUUGAUGAAUGAUCUUUGAGGUGAUCCUUCUCCUUGACCAGCAUGGGUUAAUAUCCAUAUGAACAUUUCUGCAUCAACAUCCUGAAAGAGACCACCAAGCUGAAUGCAGCUCCCCAGUUAUGCAUAGGGUGAGGUCUGCCAGAUGUCUGACAUACCCCACCUGCAGCAGCAGACAAGCUGGUUGGGGUGGAGGUGCUUCUCUGACCUCCUGGCAAUCCUGCUAUGUUUGUUGUUGUUGUUGUUGUUGUUGUUGUUUAGUCAUUUAAUCGGGUCCGACUCUUUGUGACCCCAUGGACCAGAGCACGCCAGGCACUCCUGUCUUCCACUGCCUUCCGCAGUUUGGUCAAACUCAUGCUGGUAGCUUCGAGAACACUGUCCAACCAUCUCGUCCUCUCUCGUCCCCUUCUCCUUGUGCCCUCCAUCUUUCCCAAAAUCAGGGUCUUUUCCAGGGAGUCUUCUCUUCUCAUGAGGUGGCCAAAGUAUUGGAGCUUCAGCUUCAGGAUCUGUCCUUCCUGUUUACUCCCAGGUAAAGUAUAGGGUUGCAGCCUUAGAAAUGAGGUCUUGAGGGAAAAUAGAUUUUGGAAUGCAUGUUUGGGGAGAAACACAUGAUCAAAAUACUAUUAUUUUUUAAAUGCAGAUUUUGCUGGAGGCCGUGGAAGACAGGAGUGCCUGGCGUGCUCUGGUCCUUGGGGUCACAAAGAGUCGGACAUGACUAAACGACUAAACAACAACAACAAAAAGGUGGAAACAGGACAGAAGAGGCUUGUAGGAAAUGUCCGCCCCUACAUAGUUCACAAGUUGUGCAGGCGCACUGGCUAAUGAUAAUUUCCGGUCGACAACGAUGUUGAAAGGCAAUCAAAUUUCAAAUUUCCCUCUCCCUCCAUUUUGUCUUCAUGGAGCUUUGAGCUUGUGAAAGACGCAAACCAAACUGGGGAGCGAAGAUGCAGUGCUUGGUUCUCUGGGGAAUUUACCUCAGUGGAAGCAACUGGAGAAUUCACAGUUCUCCAAUCUGCUGCAGCAGCACCGGCUGAGUUGAGCUGAGGAGGAAAAAGGGAGGAGGGGUUCUGUCUCCAAACUAUUUCAGUCCUGGCCACCAUUCACUUUUGCUGAGCAUGCCAAAUAUGAUGGCUGAUUGAAUCCCUUGGAAGUUACAUUGGAGACCACCAAAGACUUGAUGAACAUCAAAUAGCAAUUAGGCUGUGAACCUUUGGUUACACUCAAGCUGAGCUGAAUUUCAGCCAAAAAAACUGAAGGAUGGGAAGCUAUACGUCCCAUUACCCAUCUCUGGAGUCAUUCAGUUUCCCAAGACAGAGCGCGGGUCUUCCCCACCAAGAGCUAAUCAUUAGCUCAGUGAGAUUCCUUCUGGGAUGAUAACAUAGACAAGUGGUCCUGCAAGUAGUCUCCUUUUUAUCCAGUUGCUUAUAUUGUGGAAGUCUAAAAUAAUUAGUCUGCUGUAAUGAGAGACCUGUCCCUCUUUUUCUCCUUUUUACAAUCUUACGUUCACUUCUCCACAUUUCCACAUCAGUUUGCAUUUAAAAUCUUCUUAAAAAUUCCUCAGCAAUUUAGCUAAGUAUUUUUUGUGUGUGUGCAAGCACUAUCUUUCUAUUAUAAUGUAUUUUAAUAAGCUAGUUUCAGUAAGAUGCACAUUUUAUCCUAGCAUAUGCUGCCCAUUACAUGACUGGAGACCUGCAUUGCAAAAUAUGAUGGAUAUGUUUCAGUUCAUGUAAUGAUUCAGGAAGCGUGGAUUUGGUAGGUUCGCCUUCAAAUGCAAACAAGAACUGAAUUUCUCCCCGAUUCCUGUCUGCCUGCAACACAGAAUACUGCUCAAACUCCCUUCAACUAUAAUUGCCCUGAGAUCAUUGGAUGAAUUUCUGGCUCUUCUGUCGGUAACUAAAUUCACGCUUAAAUUUCACUUCCCAAGAUUCAUUACAUGAAGGUGUGACUGUUUAAAGUGGUAUGGCACACUGCUUUAAAACUAUACAUUGGUACCUCAGGUUAAGUACUUAAUUCGUUCCGGAGGUCCGUUCUUAACCUGAAACUGUUCUUAACCUGAAGCACCACUUUAGCUAAUGGGGCCUCCUGCUGCUGCCGCGCCACCGGAUCCCGAUUUCUGUUCUUAUCCUGAAGCAAAGUUCUUAACCUGAAGCACUAUUUCUGGGUUAGCGGAGUCUGUAACCUGAAGCGUAUGUAACCUGAGGUACCACUGUAGUGUGAAUGGGGCCUAGAAAACUAGCAGUCUAGAGCUUGACCUCAGUUUACCUCUCUAUGCAGUGUAGUGUUGCCCAGUCAGAAACAUCCCAGAAGCUGAGAUUUCAUGGCCCAAACCUGAGACCUAGGGGUAGCUGCUGGUGAUGUUACAGGGGUGGGCUGGAGAUGGCAGUUAUAUAAGAGAGGAAGGCAGGACAUACACAUACAUACAUACACACACACACACACACACACACACACACACACACACACUUAAAGGGACUAUGAAAUAAUUUAAAUCUGGCUCCUGCUGAACCAGAGCUUGCAAGCUGUGUGUGCAAUUUUAAAAUAAUAUUAAGAAUACGCCUGGAGAUUCAAGCCCUCCCACUGCCGGCUGGAGGGAACCAGGCAAAUCUGGGGACUUCAGGUCAGCCCUGGAGGUCUGGAAACCCAAAUCCAGAGGGCACUUCCCCCCGUGUAAAGGAACAUUCGAUCACGAAAGCUCUUGCAAUCUAAAGGAUAAAGCUUGGGCCAGGUUUGCCACCUCUGUAAGAACAGAGCCACUGUUUACACAUAACCAGGGCUGCUUCUUUUUUUCCACCUGGAGCUCACCAGAACUUAGGUCCGGUGCCUCUCAUAUGGGCACCAUUGCCAUUCUAAGAGAACAAAGGAGGUGUUCAUGGUGAGUUCUGGAACCUCUUUUUCUAGAAAAAUAGCACUGCACAUAACUACCAUGACCACAACAGUAAUAUAUACUUCAGUGCAGCAGGGACACGGGUGGUGCUGUGGUCUAAACCACUGAGCCUCUUGGCCUUGCUGAUUGGAAGGUCACUGGUUCGAAUCCCUGCGAGAGUGAGCUCCCGCUGCUCUGUCCCAGUUCCUGCCAAACUAGCAGUUCGAAAGCAUGCCAGUGCAAGUAGAGAAAUAGGUACCACUGCAGCGGGAAGGUAAACGGUGUUUCCGUGUGCUCUGGUUUCCGUCACAGUGUUGCGUUGAACCAGUAGUGGUCUAGUCAUGCUGGCCACAUGCGCCAGAAAGCUGUCUGUGGACAAACGCCGGCUCCCUCGGCCUGAAAGUGAGAUGAGUGGUGCAACCCCAUUGUUGCCUUUGACUGGGCUUAACCAUCAAGGGGUCCUUUACCCCCCCUUUAUUCCAGUGCAAUAUAGCAGUACAGCAUGUCAGACUGGGACCAGGGAGAUCCAAGUUCAAAUCCCCACUCAGCCAUGAAUCUCACUGGAUGACACUGGACCUCUCACUCUUUUCUCAACCUGGCCUUCUUCACAGGAUUGUUGUGAGGAUAUAAUGGAGAAGAGAACUAUGUAUCCCUCCCUUAAGCCCUGUGGAUGAAAGGUGGGGUAAUAUACACAACAGAAGCAGUAGUUACAGAAGUAAAAUUGCAUCCCAUGCUCUUGGCUACAUGUCUGAUUGAGUCCCUUUGGAAUUUAAUACCCACCGUUAUGCAAUGCGCAGCUGACUACAUGACAUUUCACCUACCCUUUUCCUCCACAUGUGCCCAGGCAGCUCAACAAACACAAACGAAUUGCAAGCUUUCCUGAACAUUUUUCCCGAUGAUUUCUUUCAGUCUUCGUUUCGUUUUAAUGCAAGGGCACGAAUCCUAGUUUAUGUCAUAAUAGAUGGACAACAAUAGUGCAGUUUAAUGAAAAUAAAACGCUAAACAGUGCUACAUGUUGACAGUGUCAUGAUGGAUAUAAUUUGGAGUGUUUUCGAUGGUGUGGAUCUUUGAAAAAUAUCUGGCAAGCGAGCAAAGUGACAAAUGUAUUUAAGGAUCUAUGCCAUUCAAAUGAUACCAC
rnacentral:lncRNA from 1 species